AACGAACGCUGGCGGCAUGCCUAACACAUGCAAGUCGAACGAUCCCUUCCGGCUUAGGGGCGCACGGGUGGGGAAGGCGGGGGAACCUGCACUUAGGUUCGGAAUACCUCAGAGAAAUUUAAGCUAAGACCGGAGAAUCUCUUAGUACAUAUGGUUUGUGGCCGUUGGCUGGGCGCGGGUUGGCUUAGCUGGUUGGUGGGGUAAAGGCAGACCAAGGCGACGAUGCAGAGCUGGUCGGAGAGGAUGAUCAGCCACACUGGGACUGCGACCCGGCCCAGACUGCUACGCGAGGCAGCAGUGUAGUAUAUAGUACACGGGGCGCAAGUCUGGUACAGCAACGCCGGGGGUGUGAUCAAGGCGUUAGGGUUGCAAAGCCCUCUGACCCGGGAUGAUAAGGACCGUAACGGGAGAAUAAGCCCCGGCUAACUCCGUG
rnacentral:rRNA from 1 species